GAUGAACGCUGGCGGCGUGCCUAAUACAUGCAAGUCGAGCGAACAGACGAGGAGCUUGCUCCUCUGACGUUAGCGGCGGACGGGUGAGUAACACGUGGAUAACCUACCUAUAAGACUGGGAUAACUUCGGGAAACUGGAGCUAAUACCGGAUAAUAUAUUGAACCGCAUGGUUCAAUAGUGAAAGACGGUUUUGCUGUCACUUAUAGAUGGAUCCGCGCCGCAUUAGCUAGUUGGCAAGGUAACGGCUUACCAAGGCGACGAUGCGUAGCCGACCUGAGAGGGUGAUCGGCCACACUGGAACUGAGACACGGUCCAGACUCCUACGGGAGGCAGCAGUAGGGAAUCUUCCGCAAAGGGCGAAAGCCUGACGGAGCAACGCCGCGUGAGUGAUGAAGGUCUUCGGAUCGUAAAACUCUGUUAUUAGGGAAGAACAAAUGUGUAAGUAACUAUGCACGUCUUGACGGUACCUAAUCAGAAAGCCACGGCUAACUACGUG
rnacentral:rRNA from 1 species